UACGUAGGGGCCUAGCGUUGUCCGGAUUUAUUGGGCGUACAGCGCUCGUAGGCGGUUCGGCCAGUCGGAUGUGAAAUCUCCACGCUCAACGUGGAGGGGCCAUUCGAAACUGCUGUGACUCGAGUCCGGUAGGGGAGUGUGGAAUUCCCGGUGUAGCGGUGAAAUGCGAAGAUAGCGGGAGGAACACCAGUAGCGAAGGCGGCACUCUGGGCCGGUACUGACGCUGAGGAGCGAAAGCGUGGGGAGCGAACAGG
rnacentral:rRNA from 1 species